rnacentral:rRNA from 1 species
GGAUGAACGUUGGCAGUGUGCCUAAUACAUGCAAGUCGAACGGAGACUGUAGCAAUACUGUCUUAGUGGCGAACGGGUGAGUAACGCGUUGGUGAUCUGCCUCGAAGUGUGGAAUAACCUCCCGAAAGGGAAGCUAAUACCGCAUAGUCUCUCAAGGUUUAGAAAAUUGAGAGUAAAGGAUUUAUUCGCUUCGAGAGGAGCCUGCGUCCCAUCAGCUAGUUGGUAGGGUAACGGCCUACCAAGGCAAUGACGGGUAGGGGACCUGAGAGGGUGGCCCCCCACAAUGGAACUGAAACACGGUCCAUACACCUACGGGUGGCAGCAGUAGGGAAUAUUAGAAAUGGGCGGAAGCCUGAUCUAGCAACACCGCGUGUGCGAUGAAGGCCUUCGGGUCGUAAAGCACUUUUUGGAGGGAAUAGGAAGGAAGGUACCUCCAGAAUAAGUCUCGGCUAACUACGUGCCAGCAGCCGCGGUAACACGUAGGAGGCAAACGUUAUCCGGAUUCACUGGGCGUAAAGCGCGUGCAGGUGGUUUCGUAAGUAGGGCGUGAAAGCUCCCGGCUCAACUGGGAGAGGCCGUACUAAACUGCGGAGCUAGAGGAUGGUAGAGGGAGGUGGAAUUCCAGGUGUAGUGGUGAAAUGCGCAGAUAUCUGGAGGAACACCAGUGGCGAAGGCGGCCUCCUGGACCAUACCUGACACUCAGACGCGAAAGCUAGGGUAGCAAACGGAAUUAGAGACUCCGGUAGUCCUAGCCCUAAACGAUGCAGACUAGGCGUCGGCGGUUUAAUCACCGUCGGUGUCCAAGCUAACGCGAUAAGUCUGCCGCCUGAGGACUACGGCCGCAAGGCUAAAACUCAAAGGAAUUGACGGGUCCCCGCACAAGCAGCGGAGCGUGUGGUUUAAUUCGAUGCUCCGCGAAGAACCUUACCUGGNNNNNACAUAACAGUGGUAGAGAAACGAAAGUGGACCGACCCUUCGGGGAGCUGUUACAGGUGUUGCAUGGCUGUCGUCAGCUCGUGUCGUGAGAUGUUCGGUUAAGUCCCGCAACGAGCGCAACCCUUGCCAUUAGUUGCUACGAAAGGGCACUCUAAUGGGACUGCCGGUGACAAACCGGAGGAAGGUGGGGAUGACGUCAAGUCCUCAUGGCCCUUAUAGGUGGGGCUACACACGUCAUACAAUGGCCGGUACAAAGGGUAGCCAACCCGCGAGGGGGAGCCAAUCCCAUAAAGCCGGUCGUAGUCCGGAUCGCAGUCUGCAACUCGACUGCGUGAAGUCGGAAUCGCUAGUAAUCGUGGAUCAGCAUGUCACGGUGAAUACGUUCCCGGGUCU